GCCAGAUUGGAAAUGGUGAAGUCUCGUACCAAAGGCUCAAAAUGGUCGUAUUUGGAGGAUAAUUAUCGUGUAUCUGGCAACAUUGAGAUCGGUCGACCAAUGACUGUUCUCUCUACAGUCAGAGCUCGCGAAAGAAGGUGGAACCAUAAGAACACAGUCUGUUGCACAUCCAGUCAGUCAGUUUCAAACCUCGCAUCUACACACUGAAGUUUUCCGGACCUACACUUGCAGAACGCAACCAUGUAAUGCCUCAGGAGUCUGUAGAGGGAACGAAGACGCGUUCUGCUGCACUUAACAGAGCUCAAGACCAACUGGACGCCAUCAGGACGCCACGUCAACGGGACGCCAUCAGGACACCAUCAGGACGCCACGUCAACGGGACGCCAUCAGGACGUCACGUCAACCCCUCAGGAGCAAAUCCAGAUCUACGCAUGACACACAUACACACACACACACACAGAUGUACACACAGACACACUAACAUUUGGUUCUAAACAAUGACACACACUAACAUUUAGAUGUACACAAAGACACAUUAAUAUUUAGAUGUACACACAGACACACUAACAAUUAGAUGUACACACAGACACACUAUCAUUUGGUUCUAAACAAAGACACACACUAACAUUUAGAUGUACACAAAGACACAAUAACAAUUAGAUGUACACACAGACACACUAACAAUGAGAUCUACACACAGACACACUAUCAUUUGGUUCUAAACAAUGACACACACUAAUAUUUAGAUGUACACAAAGACACACACUAACAUUUAGAUGUACACACAGACACACUAACAAUGAGAUCUACACACAGACACACUAUCAUUUGGUUCUAAACAAUGACACACACUAAUAUUUAGAUGUACACAAAGACACACACUAACAUUUAGAUGUACACAAAGACACAUUAAUAUUUAGAUGUACACACAGACACACUAACAAUUAGAUGUACACACAGACACACUAACAUUUGGUUCUAAACAAAGACACACACUAAUAUUUAGAUGUACACAAAGACAAUAACAAUUAAAUGUACACACAGACACACUAACAAUUAAUUCCACACACAGACACACUAACAAUUAGAUGUACACACAGACACACUAACAUUUGGUUCUAAACAAAGACACACACUAACAUUUAGAUGUACACAAAGACACAUUAAUAUUUAGAUGUACACACAGACACACUAACAAUUAGAUCUACACACAGACACACUAACAAUUAGAUCUACACACAGACCCACUAACAAUUUAGAUGUACACACAGACACAUCCUGGUGACCCUCCUCACGUCUCUUCUCCUUGUCUGCAGACCAACAGGACGCCACGUCAUCGGGACGCCUUCAGGACGCCGCGUCAGCCCCUCAGGAGCAAAUCCAGAUCUACUCAUGACACACCCACACACACACACACACACACACACAGAUGUACUCACAGACCCACUAACAUUUGGUUCUAAACAAAGACACACACUAACAGUUGGAUGUACACAAAGACACAUUAAUAUUUAGAUGUACACACAGACACACUAACAAUUAGAUGUACACACAGACACACUAACAAUUAGAUGUACACAGACACACUAACAAUUAGAUGUACACACAGACACAUCGUGAUGAUCCUCCUCACGUCUCUUCUCCUUGUCUGCAGACCAACAGGACGCUAUCAGGACGCCACGUCAUCGGGACGCCAUCAGGACGCCGCGUCAACCCCUCAGGAGGAAAUCCAGAUCUACUCAUGACACACACACACACACACACAGAUGUACACACAGACCCACUAGCAUUUGGUUCUAAACAAAGACACACACUAACAUUUAGAUGUACACAAAGACACACUAACAAUUAGAUGUACACACAGACCCACUAACAAUUAGAUGUACACACAGACACACUAUCAUUUGGUUCUAAACAAAGACACACACUAACAUUUAGAUAUGUACACACAGACACACUAACAUUUAGAUGUACGCAAAGACACAAUAACAAUUAGAUGUACACACAGACACACUAACAAUUAGAUCCACACACAGACACACUAACAAUUAGAUGUACACACAGACACACUAACAUUUGGUUCUAAACAAAGACACACAUUAACAUUUAAAUGAACACAAAGACACAUUCAUAUUUAGAUGUACACACAGACACACUAACAAUUAGAUGUACACACAGACACACUAACAUUUGGUUCUAAACAAAGACACACAUUAACAUUUAAAUGUACACAAAGACACAUUCAUAUUUAGAUGUACACACAGACACACUAACAUUUGGUUCUAAACAAAGACACACACUAAUAUUUAGAUGUACACAAAGACACAAUAACAAUUAGAUGUACACACAGACACACUAACAAUUAGAUCUACACACAGACAGACUAACAAUUAGAUGUACACACGGACACACUAACAAUUAGAUGUACACACAGACACACUAACAAUUAGAUGUACACACAGACACAUCCUGAUGAUCCUCCUCACGUCUCUUCUCCUUGUCUGCAGACCAACAGGACGCCAUCAGGACGUCAUCGGGACACCAUCAGGAUUCCAUCAGGACGCCUUAAGGACGCCGCGUCAACCCCUCAGGAGCAAAUCAAGAUCUACUCAUGACACACACACACACCCACACACACACACACACACAGAUGUACUCAGAGACACACUAACAUUUAGACACGCUGGCAAAUUUAGACACACACAGACACACUAUUAUUUGGUUCUAAACAAAGACACACACUAAUAUUUAGAUGUACACAAAGACACACACUAACAAUUACAUGUACACACAGACACACUAUCAUUUGGUUCUAAACAAUGACACACACUAACAUUUAGAUGUACACAAAGACACACACUAAUAUUUAGAUGUACACAAAGACAUAUUAAUAUUUAGAUGUACACACAGACACACUAACAUUUGGUUCUAACCAAAGACACACUAAUAUUUAGAUGUUCACAAAGACAUAUUAAUAUUUAGAUGUACACACAGACACACUAACAUUUAGAUGUACACACAGACACACUAACAACAUUAACAUGUUAAUAACUUUUCUUCUUUUCUCUCUUCUCAGGAACUGCUUCAGAUAUUUUCCCAAUGAUUGUAUUAUUAUUAUUGUUAAAUAUGUCGUCUGUUUAUUAUUUUAACAAUGAAAAUAAAUUUUAAUAAAAAUAAAAC
ensembl:lncRNA